CAAUGACAGUAUAGGAGUAAGGUCCAGAGGAUCCCACUGAUUGAUGGUUAAUACCGUGCCCCUGUGUGUGCCCCUGUGUAUGCCCCUGUGUGUGCCCCUGUGUGUGUGUGCCCGUGUCUGUGUGUGCCCGUGUCUGUGUGUGCCCGUGUCUGUGCCCGUGUCUGUGCCCGUGUCUGUGCCCCUGUGUGUGUGUGCCCCUGUGUGUGUGUGCCCCUGUGUGUGCCCCUGUCUGUGUGUGCCGUGUCUGUGCCCCUGUGUGUGCCGUGUCUGUCUGUGCCCCUGUGUGUGCCCGUGUCUGUGCCCCUGUGUGUGCCCGUGUCUGUGCCCCUGCCUGUCUGUGCCCCUGUGUGUGCCCCUGUGUGUGCCCCUGUCUGUGUGUGCCCCUGUCUGUGUGUGCCCCUGUCUGUGCCCCUGCCUGUGCCCCUGCCUGUCUGUGCCCCUGUGUGUGUGUGCCCCUGUCUGUGUGUGCCCCUGUGUGUGUGUGCCCCUGUCUGUGUGUGCCCCUGUGUGUGCCCCUGUCUGUGCCCCUGCCUGUGUGUGCCCCUGUGUGUGUGUGCCGUGUCUGUGCCCGUGUCUGUGCCCCUGUGUGUGCCCCUGUGUGUGCCCCUGUGUGUGCCCCUGUGUGUGUGUGCCCCUGUCUGUGCCCCUGUCUGUGCGUCUGUGUGUGCCCCUGUGUGUGUCUCUGUGUGUGUGUGCCCCUGUGUGUGCCCCUGUCUGUCUGUGCCCGUGUCUGUGCCCCUGUCUGUGUGUGCCCUGCCUGUUCCCGUGUCUGUGCCCCUGUGUGUGUGUGCCGUGUCUGUGCCCCUGUGUGUGCCCCUGCCUGUGCCCCUGUGUGUGCCCCUGCCUGUGUGUGCGUCUGUCUGUGCCCGUGUCUGUGCCCCUGUCUGUGUGUGCCCUGUCUGUGCCCCUUGCAUUCUCUCUUUCUCUCUCUCUCUCUUUCCCCUUCCUCGCUCUCUCUCUCUCUUUGUGUCCCUCUGAUUCUCUCUCUCUCUCUCUCUCUCUCUCUUUGUGUCUCUCUGAUUCUCUCUCUCUCUCUUUUUGUGUCCCUCACAUUCUCUCUCUCUCUCUCUCUCUUUGUUUCCCUCUGAUUCUCUCUCUCUCUCUCUCUCUCUCUCUCUUUGUGUCGCUCAGAUUCUCUCUCUCUCUCUCUCUCUUUGUGUCUCUCUGAUUCUCUCUCUCUCUCUUUGUGUCGCUCACAUUCUCUCUCUCUCUCUCUCUCUUUGUGUCCCUCAGAUUCUCUCUCUCUUCAUCUCUCUCUCUCUCUCUUUGUGUCCCUCUGAUUCUCUCUCUCUCUCUCUUUGUGUCCCUCAGAUUCUCUCUCUCUCUCUCUCUCUCUUUGUGUCCCUCAGAUUCUCUCUCUCUCCUCAGAUUCUCUCUCUCUUCAUCUCUCAGUCUGACUCUAUUCCUUCUCUCCUGUCCUUUGACCUUCAGGUCAUACUGCCUUCUUUAAAUACUCUCCUGUGCGUCUUAUCUCCACCUGUCUUUUUCCAGAGGCAGAUCUCUUUCUUUGCCUUUGAACUACAGCCUUUAAUAUUUAAUGAGU
rnacentral:lncRNA from 1 species